UACGUAGGGAGCGAGCGUUGUCCGGAUUCAUUGGGCGUAAAGAGCUCGUAGGCGGCUUGGCAAGUCGGGUGUGAAAACUCCAGCUCAACCUGGAGACGCCACCCGAUACUGCCAUGGCUAGAGUCCGGUAGGGGACCACGGAAUUCCUGGUGUAGCGGUGAAAUGCGCAGAUAUCAGGAGGAACACCGGUGGCGAAGGCGGUGGUCUGGGCCGGAGCUGACGCUGAGGAGCGAAAGCGUGGGGAGCGAACAGG
rnacentral:rRNA from 1 species